CAGAACAAAGUUUUGAACUUUCUUGGAAUUGGAACUUAGUAAUGUCUAUGUAUGGAAGAGCCGAAGAGCCUUCGUGCUGUGUUUUAACUUAAGUCUAAGCAAACUCAAUUUGAGUUCCAAUUGCCUGAGGAACUCUGUUUGUUUGUGAGGGAUGUUCAAAAUACCAACCAGUAGAUGCAACCUCUAUUGUUCUUACUUGUUAACCAUGGAAUCCAUAUAUUAUGUGACUGAGAGGAAGUGAGUUCUCUGGCAGAUGAAAGCAAAGAUACCGCCAAGUAGAUAGACUUUUCGAAUAAUGCCCGACGCGGAGGAGGAGAUUCGUCACAAUCUUCUGCAGUGAGUUGGCAGACAGUGUCCUGGCAAGUAGUAAUUUUUGAAGGAUGAUGGGUUUGGCAACAGACUGCAGCUAGAGCUUAAAAAAGAAACUUGCAGGAGCUGAGGCCACCAUGUGAAGAGGGCCUAUAGGAUAAAAUGGAACUUCUACCCGUUGUUGUUGCAGAAAAGUUAGAGAUGCGCUCUCUAGACAAGUCGCUGUGUUGAUUAUCACAGAGGAAGCUGUCCGUUUGUCAGCUGUGUUCCUAUACACCUCCAUUAUGCUUUCUAAUGAUGCAAAUCGUGAAACCGGAAAGUCUUUGUAUCUCAGGGGAUAUAACUCUGGCACUAGCUCUUCUUCUUGUCCUUUUGGUUCUGCGGAAAGGUGAAAAAGCCUAUAGUGUUACAAGAUUAUAGCCGCUUUCAGAAACUCUGAAACAGAGAGUUAUAGAUUACCUUUCAAGGGAGCCAGAACAUUGUUUGCGUAGAGUUUCUCAAAUACAGAGCGACAUUUAAAAGCUGUGGCACUUGUUGUGCUAAAAAUGACGUUUGGAAGAUUAAACUCUUUGGCUGCAGCUUCAGCAAAGUACAUGGACUCAUCGUAGAUGACACAUGAUAUCUCAUUACUUUUUUGGAGAAGCAACUGACCUAAACAGGCCUUGAGGCUCACCUGACACUCUUUUUUGAGCUUAAGCAUAAACUGUAUUGGUCCGAGAUUCUUGAAAUCAGACUCCGGCAAGCUUUCUUGGAUUGAGACGAAUUGAUAAUCUGUGAAGCCAUCUGAAGGGAUAAAGUAAUUGAACUUGGUCUGGAGAGCUGUGAUUGAGAAACCCUUCAAGUGAAGGGCUUUUGCAAGUUGCAUCAUUGGAGUUAUAUGCCCUUGAGCUGGAAAUGGAACCAGGACUAUUCGUCUCCUUGCUUGCUUCUAUUCCAUUUCAAAAGCCUGCAAGAAUAACUAAGAAAUACUUCUCUCAGCUCCGCGCUGUGCUAGUUUUGGUUACUCUGGUCAUCAGCUUCUAUGAAAAUUUCAAUGUGCUUUAUACGAAGAAGUAUCUUUCUGAUAUAAAUAUCAGAUUUUCAGACUUGUGGACGUUAAUUCUCGCAUGUGAAGCUUUGGUAGAUGGUGUAAUCAGAGACAAGAGAAAGAUCCUUCUGUCUUCGUGGUCCUCCUCUUGUAUCAUUUAAUAAUAGUCUUACUUUUUGAUGCACAAUUCUAUCUUGAGCAAACUAGUAUUUGAUUUUAAAAUUUGUUUGCUUACAAAGUAAACCACGUACAGUUCUGUAAAUUUUGCAGAUCAAGCUUGGUUUAUGCA